CUCGGAGCAAGGACCCCGCAGGGAGAUGCUGUGCUGAUUGCUGAAGGCAGCGAGGCCCCAAAUCUGCCCCAGAGAGAUCCCUUUUCCAGCUGCACCAGGGGCAACCUCAGCAAAGUGAAAUUAAUGCGCAGAGAGGAAUCCGGUGCCUGUGAGUACCUACCCUCUGCUUCUCCCUCCCCAAAAACGCUGGGACUGGCUCACAGUGAUCAGGAGGGUUUGCCUGGGGAGGCUGGACAAUGUGGGGGUGCUGCCAGCUGUGCUCCCACCUCUGGAGGGGUUUUAUCCUUUCCUCAUCCUCACAUAAGGUGGGGAAUUGAGGUAGAGAACCACAAAAACCAGCCUGGACAUCACUUGGGGUGGCUGAACGUGUUUUUCUCCUCCCCUCAUUAGUUUCCCUCAUUUUCUCCCCCUCAUUAACAUCCCUUUUCUGCUGGACAAACAGCCCAGCCCCACUUAGAGGGAGGGGAAUGGUGGCACCCUGGGUGGGGAAGAGGCUGCUCUGCCUGAGCAUCCCAAAGGAAAUGGUGAUCCCACUGCAAUCCUCCCUGGAAAACCUUGCUGCUUGUUUCCAAGUGCUCGAGGGGGCUCAAUCCCAGAGGGAAACUGAGGCACAAAGGGAAGCGUUUCAUGCAUCAGUGCUGGGGGGUCCCAGCCUGCUCCUGUGAUUUUGGAUUUACGGAUCAGCCCUGGGGGUGGCAGUCCCGGCUUGGGGGCUUGGCUGGGUGACACGAGGGUGAUUUCCUCCCUUCCAGGGGGGUGAGGGCGGCCACAGCCCCUGACUCAGCUCUCCCUGGGGCCGGCGGGGUCCCAGAUUUGCCCCGUGACGCCGAACCACCCACGCGGGGCAGCCGCGGGGGAUUUACCUCCCGCCACCGCCAGCUCCAGCCUCCCUUCCCCAUCCAAACCCAUCCCUGCACAGCGGGAGCCCAAACCCACUUACGCUGCAGGGCCGGGGAGGACGCAAAAGCCCUCGGCUGGGAAAACUUUUCUUUAAAAGAACCCCAAAUGUCAGCUCUAAAUUGGGUGUUAGGCGCUCGUGCUCCGUCUCUUCAUUACUGUAUCGUAAAAUUACAUUAGCCGGGAACGAUCUGCAUUCAAAUGACUCUGUGUCUGGAAU